AUACGGAGGAUCCGAGCGUUAUCCGGAUUUAUUGGGUUUAAAGGGUGCGCAGGCGGCCAUUUAAGUCAGCGGUUAAAUCGUGGAGCUCAACCCCAUUCUGCCGUUGAUACUGGGUGGCUUGAUUGCGGUCGAGGUUGGCGGAAUUCGUUGUGUAGCGGUGAAAGGCAUAGAUAUGACGAAGAACACCGAUUGCGUAGGCAGCUGACCAGACCGCAAAUGACGCUCAUGCACGAAAGUGCGGGGAUCGAACAGGAUUAGAUACCCUGGUAGUCCGCACAGUAAACGAUGAAUACUUGUUUUCGGCGAUAUAAUGUCGGAGGCAAAGCGAAAGCGAUAAGUAUUCCACCUGGGGAGUACGCCGGCAACGGUGAAACUCAAAGGAAUUGGCGGGG
rnacentral:rRNA from 1 species